rnacentral:rRNA from 1 species
UUGUCUCUCUUGAGUGGAUCCUGAGUACGACGGAGCACGUGAAAUUCCGUCGGAAUCUGGGAGGACCAUCUCCUAAGGCUAAAUACUCUCUAGUGACCGAUAGUGAACCAGUACCGUGAGGGAAAGGUGAAAAGCACCCCGGAAGGGGAGUGAAAUAGAACCUGAAACCGUGUGCUUACAAGUAGUCAGAGCCCGUUAAUGGGUGAUGGCGUGCCUUUUGUAGAAUGAACCGGCGAGUUACGAUUUGAUGCAAGGUUAAGCAGUAAAUGUGGAGCCGUAGCGAAAGCGAGUCUGAAUAGGGCGUUUAGUAUUUGGUCGUAGACCCGAAACCAGGUGAUCUACCCUUGGUCAGGUUGAAGUUCAGGUAACACUGAAUGGAGGACCGAACCGACUUACGUUGAAAAGUGAGCGGAUGAACUGAGGGUAGCGGAGAAAUUCCAAUCGAACCUGGAGAUAGCUGGUUCUCUCCGAAAU